rnacentral:lncRNA from 1 species
CCGUGCUGCUAACUGCCACCAAGGCUUCACCCCGGCCCAAGCUUACCCCAAACCCAGACACUUGGGAUUAUAUAGAGAUUCAAGAGCAGUCAAGGAUGCCAGGGAAUCCAGUCAGGCAUGUCUCCCCUCCCCAUUUUGCUUUUAUUUAUGUUCACAGAACCAACGGGUUAAAAAAAAAACGCUGAGUUUCUGGAUCCAGUUCCGGCUUUUUGAAGGAUACCCUCAUCCCCUGAUUCUGCUCACGACACAAUGCCCACAGGGUUCAGGAGCAACCACAGGUAUCCCCAAAGAUCCUGACCUGAGAAUAAAUACCUCCACAAUACUAAACCAGUUUCAGAGUGCCGGUCCUCGAACACUACCUUCUGGAGGAAUCUGCCUCAUUGACAGGUGCUGCGGUCCUCAUCCGUCAUUUCUUUACCAUCUGACUCUGACCACAGGUAAUUGGGCCAGAAGUGACAUUUGACCUACUGGGGAGACCAUCCAUAAACCGUCCAGCAACCUCUAUCUUAUAUGAUCUGGCUUUAAAAAAUGAGCCAGACCAGUCUGGUUCCUCUCUUGAGAAUUCAAACUAAAAGCCUGCCAAGGAAAUUGUCAGAUGGCGGCGGGAGCGGCACUACCAUUGAAAAUCCAAACCGAACUGAGACGAGGGUGGCCAUUACGGCCCAUGUGCAAGAAAGUGUGGCUGUCAGAGGCUAUCAACACUGAUCAAGCCUCGAACACGGCCUCAACUGGAUCAGGUGGAUUGUGAUGAGCAAGGCUUCAUGCAUUUGUUUCCAGCCAAAAGCUUGCUUUUCAAACACAGACUUUUUAUUUUGAAAUUCUCAAGCCUACAGAAAAGUUCAAUACAACGGUGCAAAGCACAUCUAUAGACUCUUUAUCUAGAAAAUGCAGUUAACUUUUUAUCAUAUCUGUGCCGGGUUGUUUCCUUUCUUCCUCCAUUCUCUUCAUAUAA